GGCGGACUGGUGAGUAACACGUGGGUGAUCUACCCUUGGUUUGGGGAUAGCCCGUGGAAACAUGGGGUAAUACCGAAUACGUCGUCGUGGCUACGGCCAUGACGGGAAAGGCGCUAAGGCGCCGACCGAGGACGAGCCCGCGCCCCAUUAGCUAGUUGGUGAGGUAACGGCCCACCAAGGCGAUGAUGGGUAGCCGGCCUGAGAGGGUGUACGGCCACACUGGGACUGAGAUACGGCCCAGACUCCUACGGGAGGCAGCAGCUAAGAAUAUUCCGCAAUGGACGAAAGUCUGACGGAGCGACGCCGCGUGGAUGAAGAAGGCCGAAAGGUCGUAAAAUCCUUUUGUCGGGGAAGAAUAAGCGUGGGAGGGAAUGCCCGCGUGAUGACAUGAACCGGCGAAUAAGCCCCGGCUAACUACGUGCCAGCAGCCGCGGUAACACGUAGGGGGCAAGCGUUGUUCGGAAUUACUGGGCGUAAAGGGCAUGUAGGCGGUUUUGUAAGCCUGGCGUGAAAUUCUGCAGCUUAACUGUAGGACUGCGCUGGGAACUGCGAGACUGGA
rnacentral:rRNA from 1 species